rnacentral:RNase_P_RNA from 1 species
CAAGUAGAUUGCCUUAUCGCAGUGACUAUAAAUGCCACUGAGGAAAGUCCGAACACCAUAGUGCAACAUAGUGGCUAACAGCCACCAGUCGUGAGGCUAGGAAAAGUGCAACAGAAAGAAUGUACAGGUCAUGCUGUAGUGAAACCAGGUAAACUCUAUGUGGUGCAAUGUCAUGUAAACCAAUGUUUGAGCGUAGCACGCGCGAUGUUGGAGGGUAGACAGCUAAAGUUUGCUGGUAACAGUAAAUGUAGAUAAAUGAUAAGGCCGUGACACGGUAACGUCGUCAUCGGACAGAAUUCGGCUUAUAGAUUUACUUAAUUA